GACGAACGCUGGCGGCGUGCUUAACACAUGCAAGUCGAACGGCAAGGCACUGCUUUUGUGCGCUGCCCGAGUGCCGAACGGGUGAGUAACACGUGAGUAACCUGCCCUUGUCUUUGGGAUAACUUCAGGAAACUGAGGCUAAUACCGGAUCGGAUCUCCUGCUGCAUGGUGGGGGUUGGAAAGUUUCGGCGGUCGGGGAUGGACUCGCGGCUUAUCAGCUUGUUGGUGGGGUAGGGGCUUACCCAGGCAUUGACGGGUAGCCGGCCUGAGAGGGUGAACGGCGACCAUAGGACUGAGAGACGGACCAGACGGCUACGGGAGGCAGCGGGGGGGAAUAUUGCACAAUGAGCGGGAGUGUGAUGAAGAAACGCCGCGUGCGGGAUGACGGCCUGUGGGGUGAAAAACGCUUUCGCCUGUGACGAAGCGGGAGUGACGGUAACGGGUAAAGAAGCACCGGCUAACUACGUG
rnacentral:rRNA from 1 species